rnacentral:rRNA from 1 species
UACAGAGGGGGCAAGCGUUAUUCGGAAUUAUUGGGCGUAAAGGGCGCGUAGGCGGCAUGGCAAGUGGAUGGUGAAAUCCCUCGGCUUAACCGAGGAACUGCCGUCCAAACUGCUUCGCUUGAGACCGGGAGAGGUGAGUGGAAUUCCCAGUGUAGCGGUGAAAUGCGUAGAUAUUGGGAGGAACACCAGUGGCGAAGGCGGCUCACUGGACCGGUACUGACGCUGAGGCGCGAAAGCGUGGGGAGCAAACAGG